GCACAGCUCAGUUGGUAGAGGAUGAGGCUCUUAAUCUAAGGGUUGUGGGAUCAAGCCCCACGUUGGGCA